UACGGAGGGAGCUAGCGUUAUUCGGAAUUACUGGGCGUAAAGCGCACGUAGGCGGCUUUGUAAGUAAGAGGUGAAAGCCCGGAGCUCAACUCCGGAACUGCCUUUUAGACUGCAUCGCUUGAAUCCAGGAGAGGUGAGUGGAAUUCCGAGUGUAGAGGUGAAAUUCGUAGAUAUUCGGAAGAACACCAGUGGCGAAGGCGGCUCACUGGACUGGUAUUGACGCUGAGGCACGAAAGUGUGGGGAUCAAACAGG
rnacentral:rRNA from 1 species